AUCCUGCAGGUCAUAAAAGGAUCAGAGUCUCUGCACUGGCUUUAGAGAGAAACAGUCAAACUCUAGCAAUAUUCUUCAGGUCAACAAAGGUCAGCUCUCCAGCCCAGAUUGAGGAGUACAUUACAUUCAGGGAUCUGGGAUGUUUCUGAAUUACUCUUCUAAGCACCCACAAAUCUAUCGUGAUGUGCCUGAAAAUGAACUAAUGCUUUACGGAUUCCAGAUGGAGGUCCAAAAUCAUGACCUGGAGGACUUUCUUCUACUUUCAAAACUUGCUUUUUCUGAGUUAGGCUACUUAAGACCCCAGGCCACCAGGAAAAGUCCUGCUGCUCCCGACUGCCAGUCCGGGCCUG